UCGAACCUCAGACCUUCGGCUUACCUUGCCAACGCAGUACCAAUUGAGCUACCGAGGCCACCCGAUACGAGAACCGCUACACAACUAAUAUGACUUGUCUGUAUUGAACAUAUGUUUACUGGAUAAUAAAGUCAAGGAAUUCUCUUGCCCUCCAAUAAAUUAACUGAACGCCGCCUAGCCUGCAUGAUAGUCAUCAGGUAACCCAAUGCCUAGUCGAGAGUCCUCUAGGGGUUUUGUAUCUGGCUUGAAAUCUUGAUUUGACAUAUUUGUGAUAUUACAUACGUCAUGCAAUGUAAGUUACAAAUGAAACAUUCUUAUCACACAAGCUUGGUAUCACAGUUUAUUAUGAUGUCUUUAAAACUAUUUAUGUUGCAGAAUGCCAGAAGAAAUUACAGACAACAAUACUGCUCAGUGCAGUAACCACUGAAAAAAAAAAACACUGCUCAAGGCAAACUUUUGGGACGGAGUGCUGCAUACAUGGGCUUAUGCACAAACUGAGAUUUUGCAAGUCAACUGUCAAAGUCAUAAAGAGAGAUAGUGGACAAUGUUGAACAGAGUUGAAGUCCUGGAAUCUCGGUCAACUGCAGAUAGCAGCAUGGCGUAAAGCAGACGUCUUGUUUCCCAGUCCAAUUUUAGGCAGGUAUUCUUGGUGGUAUGAAACUGCAGUCAACACAGGUUUUUAGAGGUCUGCAAGUACAGAGUUUUAAAUUGUGAAACAAAACCUCUAACCAGAUCACAGUGUGUGUGUGUUAUGCUGUGCUGAGAUAUUGCUGUGACAUAUGGUGGAUUAAGGUCCACAACCUGGUAUUAUAUGAGUUGACAACUGUACAAGACAUCCUAUUGAAGACAGUUCUGAGUGGGCAACAGCCCAAGACACCUUGUUAAUGCUGCUCUGUUAUCUACUGAGUUUCUACAUACAAGUCAAGUAAGUACU